CUUCGAAAACGAUUUUUUGGUCUUAAAAGCUGAAAGCCUAUUUUCAAUAUAUAUCAAGAUAAAGGGUAUGAAAACCAGACAUGUGAUUUUCUUCGUUUUUCGAAAUCAACUUUAAAACGAAGCAUAUUUAGUGGACUUAAAAAUGUAGUUUUGAUAACGAUUUGUGGGUAUGGUAGCUACUAGCCAAAGCAAAUGAAACAUAUCAACUAUUAUCGCACAAACGGAAAAUACUUAGAAAGAUUUAUGGUCCAAUACGUCUAGAUGAUGACACAUGUCGAGAAAGAUGUCAACUACUAUUGCACGAACGGAAAAUACUGAGAAAGAUUUCUGGCCCAAUACGCCUAGUUAAUGGCACAUAUCAUAUUAGAGAACUACGAAUUAGAGAACUCAAUUGACAAGCAAAAUGUAAUACUACGAUACAUAAAAUCACAACCACUAACAUGACUUUAACACGUUUAGCGUAUGAACCGAGUACGAUCAGCAAAAUAAGCACUUGUAAGAAAUCUAAUUGGAUGCGGUAGAAGAAACAGACCUAGAAUUUCUAGUGGCUAGAUGAUGCUGAAGAAGGUUUAAUGAAGUCACGCGUAAGCGAUUGGAAAAACUUGAUAUCGGUUGGAGUCAGUUGGAAAAAAUUGACAGAGGAAACACUGGUCCACCAAGAACUGUUAUGCUAAGAAAGAAGAAUAAGAUGAUUGAUAUAGCCCACCAGAUAACAGUAGCUGACCUGUCGUUAUAAAUACAAAAAUAAUGCAAGUAGCAACGUUUUGGAUGUUAAUUCAAUCGUACAACUGCCGAAUCUUCGGAAUAGAGAGAGAAGUUAAAAUAGAAACUUCAAGUAACUUUGCUCUAAAGAAACAUAACAAAACAACUUAAAGUUGCUGAACGUUUUUACUUGUCACGUAGUUUUAUCCUGUAAUAUCUUGUGGAAGCUUACGAAAGUUAAUGUCCGAAGAGUUGUUUUUAAUUUUUGUCAACUACUACAAAUCAAGGAUUUCGGACAGGGAAAAUCAUAAAACUUUAUGAUAAAGCAUAUACAUCAAAUGCUGCUCUUACCGAACUAAAAACACAACUAGGUUCUUUUGAGGACUUAAGUUCAAUGGAUCGAAAGCGAAUGGCAAAACCUUACUAAGCACAACCAGGUAUAUGUAACACGUUUAAAGUGGCGUUAAUCCUAAUGCCCAGCGAAAAUGACAACCACUAACCGUAUGUGGUUUCCAUGUAAGAACUUACAACUCUUUUGUGUCAACCAUAUACGCUGCUAUAAAAAAUGAGUUGAUUGAGACUUGUGGAACUGUGAGUGCCAUUCAGCGGGAUGUUAUGAAACUAGUAACAUUAAAAAAGCUGUACUAAAGAUGUUUCAGAUCGCAGUGCAUGCACAGCCUAUUCAUAAUAA